GGUUCAUGAUGACAUGGGACCUUGUCUGAAUAUAAUGAUUUCAGAAUUUGAGCUUAAGUUUACAAUCUGAAAUC
ensembl:snoRNA SNORD107 small nucleolar RNA, C/D box 107